rnacentral:rRNA from 1 species
CAAUAGCGUAUAUUAAAGUUGUUGCGGUUAAAAAGCUCGUAGUUGGAUUUCUGCUGAGAACGACCGGUCCGCCCUUUGGGUGUGUAUCUGGCUCUUUCUUGGCAUCUUCUUGGUGAACGUUGCUGCACUUGACUGUGUGGAGCGCUACCCAGGACUUUUACUUUGAGGAAAUUAGAGUGUUUCAAGCAGGCAUACGCCUUGAAUACAUUAGCAUGGAAUAAUAAGAUAGGACCUCGGUUCUAUUUUGUUGGUUUCUAGAGCUGAGGUAAUGAUUAAUAGGGAUAGUUGGGGGCAUUCGUAUUUAACUGUCAGAGGUGAAAUUCUUGGAUUUGUUAAAGACGGACUACUGCGAAAACAUUUGCCAAGGAUGUUUUCAUUGA